rnacentral:rRNA from 1 species
AGCUCCAAUAGCGUAUAUUAAAGUUGUUGCAGUUAGAACGCUCGUAGUCGGAUUUCGGGGCGGGCCGACCGGUCUGCCGAUGGGUACGCACUGGUCGGCGCGUCCUUCCUUCCGGAGACCGUGCCUACUCUUAACUGAGCGGGGGCGGGAGACGGAUCGUUUACUUUGAAAAAAUCAGAGUGUUUCAAGCAGGCAGCUCGCUCUUGCAUGGAUUAGCAUGGGAUAAUGAAAUAGGACUUUGGUGCUAUUUUGUUGGUUUCGAACACCGAAGUAAUGAUUAAAAGGGACAGUCAGGGGCACUCGUAUUCCGCAGAGAGAGGUGAAAUUCUCAGACCCGCGGAAGACGAACCACUGCGAAAGCAUUUGCCAGGGAUGUUUUCACUG